AUUGGAUCCUAUUAUUUAGGCAAGGCAAAAUUCUAGUUAUUUGGGAUUUGGGAGUUUGAAUAGGAAUUGAAUAAAAAGAAGUUUUCAGAAUCAAGAAUCAUAAGAUUCUAAGAUUCUGACAGGGAGUUUCACUAUAAUGGAUAACAGUAUAUUAAGUUUCUCUAUCUUUACGUCUAUGGGGGUGAUAGAUUCCACCUGAUUUGUUGUUCUGUGUGAUAAAUCUUGCAUUUUUUAUAAUAUAUUUGUCAGGUUCACUUUCUUCAUUCUUGUCAUUAUAAUAUAUGGAGUUGAUGCAGCCAUUCGGAUGUGAAAAUGGCUUAAUGUUUUGGUUAUUAAUCAUAGCAAGGAAAUAGUUUAGAUUAAAACAUGUAUGUGGUCCUGAUUGUGAAAUAGUGGCACAAGUUGGAUAUAUAUUCUUUCAUUAUGAUAUAUUCUUUCAUUGUGAAAUAAUAAUUAUAAUAAUAAUUUGCAUUAUAG
rnacentral:misc_RNA from 1 species